rnacentral:rRNA from 1 species
AUUGAACGCUGGCGGCAUGCCUUACACAUGCAAGUCGAACGGUAACAGGUCUUCGGAUGCUGACGUGUGGCGAACGGGUGAGUAAUACAUCGGAACGUGCCCGAUCGUGGGGGAUAACGAAGCGAAAGCUUUGCUAAUACCGCAUACGAUCUACGGAUGAAAGCAGGGGACCGCAAGGCCUUGCGCGAACGGAGCGGCCGAUGGCAGAUUAGGUAGUUGGUGGGAUAAAAGCUGACCAAGCCGACGAUCUGUAGCUGGUCUGAGAGGACGACCAGCCACACUGGGACUGAGACACGGCCCAGACUCCUACGGGAGGCAGCAGUGGGGAAUUUUGGACAAUGGGCGAAAGCCUGAUCCAGCCAUGCCGCGUGCAGGAUGAAGGCCUUCGGGUUGUAAACUGCUUUUGUACGGAACGAAAAGACUCUGGUUAAUACCUGGGGUCCAUGACGGUACCGUAAGAAUAAGCACCGGCUAACUACGUG